CAAGGUCAACUUCGUAUUCCAGGAUUCUGACAAACACCUAUUGAGGGGUCAGCCAUGAUCUUCAAAACUUUGAUGGACCAAUGGCGAGCCGGAGGAGAACAGAUGCAGAGUUCCACAACGCAGGCACAAGGGGCACAACCGACACGCGACUGGCAAGAAUCGGCACACAAGCAUUCCAACAAAUGUAUUCACGGAUCUUCCCUGGUAUGUCCUAAAUACAAAUAAGAAUACUUUUUUUUUAACUAAUCACAAUCAGGGGGGAAAAAAUCCUGUACGUUUGUUUUUCAUGUUGAAUAGUUCCGAGUACAAAAGGGUUUUCGUAAUGUUUUUUUUUUUCAUUUCAAAAAACUAUUAUACUUUUAAUACGGAAUGAUAUUAAAAAAAAUAGUAACCGGAAUCCUCAAAAUAUUCGGAAAAAAUCUCCGCAUGGAAAAUUCUUUGAAUCAACUCUCUUGAUGAGUGGAGUUGCAUUUAUUGUUAACUGACAAACCCUCAGAGCUAAACAUUUGUUUGCUAUUUUUAAAAUAAGUUGACGCAGGUUUUUUAAAUUUAUUUUUAAAAUAAGGAGUUUACGAUACAAUCGCUUAGACUACAAAAAAAACGCACAAAAAGAAUUUAUGAAUUUGCAAAUUAUUGUACUAUUAUGAAAUAUUCAGUUAGCGUUUGCAAAAAGAUUUUCUCAGCAAGUUCAAUUCUUAUUCAACUACUGUUGUUAUGAUC